CUUAAAUAUAAAGCUUUUGAAAUAGUUUACACUGCUGCAGCCAGGUAGUAAUCAGUAAAACGUUUAAGUCUCUCAUACAUGUAUAUAUAUAUAUAUAUAUAGAUCUCUAUUUUCACAGGCAAUACAAAAAUCAGUAAGCAUUAUUAUUCUUUAUAAUUCUAUAAAAUUUUUUUUUUACAAAUUGUCAAUCCAGUUUUUUCCUUCAAAGAUGCAGACUCACACAAGCCAAUUCAGUCCCUUCUAAACAAACCACUUGAAGGAUAAGGGCAAAAAUUGUAUGGCCCAGUCCUUAAUGUCAGAUCAAAACUUCUUCUGGCUAUAAUUCAUCCAAAAGUGUUCAAUGUAGUAUGUCCACUGUCUUAUUGAUAUCUUAUAAAAUGCUGCUUCCAAGACAUUAUAUGUGACUGUGAUAGCUCAAUGCCUGUUAUGUUAAUACUCAAUAUGUACAGUUCCUCUAGAAAAUCUACAAAACAGAAGUGAAAAAUUAUAAUACAUGAAAAUUAUGAAUGGUACAUGUACG
rnacentral:lncRNA from 1 species